ACCAUUGUUCAUUAUGACUUAUGACUUAUACAAAAAAACUUUGAAAAAAAAUGCGGCCCAGAGCAUUGGAAAUAGACCAAAAAAUAUUAUUGCAAAAAUGCGCAGCCUGCUCUCGAAAGAUGUCCUGUUAUUUUGAUUGACAUUCUGAUGCACGGAUUUCAUUAAAAUUGUGAAAAACUGGUCAAAUUUGUCCAUCCGAAAAAAAUUGGGCCAUUUUUAAGUGGCUGCCAUUCCCAAAUGAUUCAUUCUAAAAUUAUUCAGUCAACACAAAAAAUUUUCAGCUUGGUCUAAAGAUUAUCUGUGUGGUCACGUCGUUACGAUAUCACUUACGGUUUUUGCUCAAGAACACGAACAAAAACCCCAUUCAUUUUCAGUGUGAACAACAUAAAAGUUUACUUUUUUCCAACUGCUACUGCUUUGCCAUACUUUUACCUACAGACUUCAUUUAAACUUUAAAACACAGGCAUUUUUGUCAUCUCUCCAAGAAUGUCUUUGGUAUGAGGAUUGGAUUUACGGUUUUUGAUAGACAAAUCUUAAAACCCCCCUGGGUUGACCAGAAAUUUG